rnacentral:rRNA from 1 species
CCUACGGGUGGCAGCAGUGAGGAAUAUUGGUCAAUGGGCGGAAGCCUGAACCAGCCAAGUCGCGUGAGGGAAUAAGGCGCUACGCGUCGUAAACCUCUUUUGCCGGGGGGCAAAGGCGGGGACGUGUCCCGGCCCGGAGAGUACCCGGAGAAAAAGCAUCGGCGAACUCCGUGCCAGCAGCCGCGGUAAUACGGGGGAUGCGAGCGUUAUCCGGAUUUAUGGGGUUUAAGGGGUGCGUAGGCGGGCUUUUAAGUCAGCGGGAAAUAUGCGGGGCUCAACCCCGUCCGGCCGUUGAAACUGGGGGCGUUGAGUGGGGGAGAGGAAGGCGGAAUGCGUGGUGUAGCGGUGAAAUGCAUAGAUAGCACGCAGAACCCCGAUUGCGAAGGCAGCCUUCCGGGGCCCUACUGACGCUGAGGCACGAAAGUGCGGGGAUCGAACAGGAUUAGAUACCCGGGUAGUC